rnacentral:rRNA from 1 species
GUGGGGAAUAUUGCACAAUGGGGGAAACCCUGAUGCAGCGACGCCGCGUGAGUGAUGAAGUAUUUCGGUAUGUAAAGCUCUAUCAGCAGGGAAGAUAAUGACGGUACCUGACUAAGAAGCACCGGCUAAAUACGUGCCAGCAGCCGCGGUAAUACGUAUGGUGCAAGCGUUAUCCGGAUUUACUGGGUGUAAAGGGUGCGUAGGUGGUGAGACAAGUCUGAAGUGAAAAUCCGGGGCUUAACCCCGGAACUGCUUUGGAAACUGCCUGACUAGAGUACAGGAGAGGUAAGUGGAAUUCCUAGUGUAGCGGUGAAAUGCGUAGAUAUUAGGAGGAACACCAGUGGCGAAGGCGACUUACUGGACUGCUACUGACACUGAGGCACGAAAGCGUGGGGAGCAAACAGGAUUAGAAACCCCAGUAGUCCC